UGGAAGGAAAAAAAUCGUAACAAGGUUUCCGUAGGUGAACCUGCGGAAGGAUCAUUACUGAUUUGCUUAAUUGCACCACAUGUGUUUUCUAUUAUUAUGAACCUUUCUUUGGCGGUGAGACGUAAAACUCGCGCCGCCAGAGGUUUACUUAAAACUUAAAUUUAAUUUUUUAUUAGUCAUUUUUUUGUUAUUAUUUAUUUAAUAGUCAAAACUUUCAACAACGGAUCUCUUGGUUCUCGCAUCGAUGAAGAACGCAGCGAAAUGCGAUACGUAAUAUGAAUUGCAGAUAUUCGUGAAUCAUCGAAUCUUUGAACGCACAUUGCGCCCUCUGGUAUUCCAGAGGGCAUGCCUGUUUGAGCGUCAUUUCUCCCUCAAACCCUUGGGUUUGGUGUUGAGCAAUACGCGAUACGGUUUGUUUGAAAUAUAGUAAUGUACCGACGUAAACGACUUAGGUCUAACCAAAACGUUUCUUUGGGUACUCAUGCUUUUUCAACAUUUGACCUCAAAUCAGGUAGGACUACCCGCUGAACUUAAGCAUAUCAAAAA
rnacentral:rRNA from 1 species